GACAGCAGUCGCCACGGUAAAACGUAGGUGGCGAGCGUUGUCCGGAAUCAUUGGGCGUAAAGGGAGCGCAGGCGGGCAUGUAAGUCUUUCUUAAAAGUGCGGGGCUCAACCCCGUGAUGGGAAAGAAACUACAUGUCUUGAGUACAGGAGAGGAAAGCGGAAUUCCCAGUGUAGCGGUGAAAUGCGUAGAUAUUGGGAGGAACACCAGUGGCGAAGGCGGCUUUCUGGACUGCAACUGACGCUGAGGCUCGAAAGCCAGGGGAGCGAACGGGAUUAGAUACCCGCGUAGUCCCUGUCUCUUAUACA
rnacentral:rRNA from 1 species